UGUUUUGACAAACGUUGCACACGAAAAAAUGUUCAAUUACCAUAAUCCAAACAUACGAGAUGAGGAAAAUUAAAAAGUGAAAAUGAAUUACUAAUUAUACCAUAAAACAUGGUUUUGAAAAUUGAAUAAAUUUUCCUUAUAUAAUUGUUGCUUUUUUUAAAAAAAACAACAAAAAGAAACGGAUAUGAGAAGAAAACACAAAAAAAACGAAAGAAAAUACUUUUCAAACCUUUAAAAAAGUGAGAUUAUUAAAUGUUUUCUGCCAAAGAAGAUUUAUUUGAAGCCAAAGAAGAUUUAUAUGAAGCCAAAGAAGAUUUAUAUGACACGUUUUUAUUUGCUCUUUCACGAUUAAAGAACUAUUCAGAAUCAAACUAAGAAAUUAUUAUAAAGAACAAGUUAUUAGGCGACGUUACCACUUAAAGUGCUAAACAACUCUUGAAGAUUUGGCUAAGGCAGUCCUGUGACCGUGAAGGAGAUAAAAAUGAUUCCAAACGAGCGCUUAUGUCAAAAAAAAAUCUAGAUUCAAUUGUUUUACCAAGAAUAUGCUUAAUGGAUUAAACUAAGAGAUCGGUGAAGUUUGAAAUAUUCCGGAUUGGCGGAUUAGAGGAUUGACUGCUUUUAAACUUUAGCGCUGCCUUGACUAUUAUGCGGAUUUACUACGGUUAUUGCGGUUUAAUAAGUCGCAAUUUUCUUGAAUAUAAUACACAACGUAAAGUUUUAAGUUUUUGUUUAAGUAAACCGGUUGCAGAAAAUUAAAAACUCAACCGGUAACAAUUCUUUAGAUUUCAUUUUCUUUCAAGAAAGAAAAAAAUUUUACAUUUA